CCAAUAACUGAAUUGGUGGACUGAAUGAAUACAGCAGUGGAUUUAAGAUGUAUCUCUCUGCUUCACAUCUUUGAAUUCUUCCUCUUUCUUCUCAGGAUACCAGAAACAGCUGGCAUACAGGAGGAGUGAUGGCUCCUACCCCCCCUACAGGAGGGAAGGUGCAAGCACAUGGAUCACGGCUUACGUGGUGAAGGUUUUCUCCAUGGCUCACUCCACCACCGGCAUCGACGAACAGCAGGUGUGCGACCCGCUCCUCUACCUGGUGAACAACAAACACCGGCUGCCCGGAGGGAACUUUGUGGAGGACAACCCUGUUUACGAUACUACCAUGACGGGCGGUCUCCUUAGAUGAGUGGAUG